AUGCUGCUAUCAGAAGGAAAUCAGAGUAUCAUAGCCAUGUUUAUUCUGCUGGGUUUUUCAGAAUAUCCAGAACUCCAGGUCCCAUUUUUCCUUGUUUUCUUGUCUAUCUACAUGGUCACUGUGGUAGGGAAUUUAGGCAUGAUCAUAAUCAUCAAGGUCAAUUCAAAACUCCACACGAUCAUGUACUUUUUCCUUAGUCACUUGUCCUUUGUCAAUUUCUGUUUUUCUACUGUAGUUACACCCAAACUGUUGGAGAAUUGAUUGUGGAGGACAGAACCAUUUCUUUCUCUGGUUGCAUUGCACAAUUUUGUUUCACUUGCCUAUUUGGUGUAGCAGAAACGUUCAUGUUAGCAGCAAUUACCUAUGACUGCUUUGUGGCAGUCUGCAACCCCUUGCUCUAUGCCACUGCGAUGCAUUGUGCUCUCUUGGUGGCUGGCUCUUUCUCAUGGGGUGUAGUGUGCUCCAUGACACACAUAUUUUCUUCUUGCAUUAUCCUAUUGCAAGUCUAGCACCAUAAAUAAUUUUAUCUGUAACCACUCUGUAAUUAUUUCUGUCUCUUGCUCAGAUCCCUGUAUCGGUCAGAUGUUAUGUUCUAUUGCCAUUUUCAAUGAGGCAACCAGCCUGGUGAUUAUUCUGAUGUCCUAUAUACUCAUUUUUAUCACUGUUAUGAGGAUGCCUUCUGCAAGUGGGCACUGGAAAACCUUCUCCACCUGUGCUUCCCACCUGACAGCCAUGAGCAUCUUCCAUGGAACCAUCCUUUUCCUUUACUGCAUCCCUAAUCCGAAAACUUCUUGGCUCACAGUCAAAGUGACUUCUGUGUUUUACACAGUAGUGAUUCCUAUGCUGAACCCCUUGAUCUACAGCUUGAGGAACAAAGAAGUAAAAAAUACAUUCAUAAGAUUAAUUUUCACAAAAUCACUUUGUCAC
rnacentral:lncRNA from 1 species